CAGUCGCCGCGGUAAUACAGAGGGUGCGAGCGUUAAUCGGAUUUACUGGGCGUAAAGCGUGCGUAGGCGGCUUUUUAAGUCGGAUGUGAAAUCCCUGAGCUUAACUUAGGAAUUGCAUUCGAUACUGGGAAGCUAGAGUAUGGGAGAGGAUGGUAGAAUUCCAGGUGUAGCGGUGAAAUGCGUAGAGAUCUGGAGGAAUACCGAUGGCGAAGGCAGCCAUCUGGCCUAAUACUGACGCUGAGGUACGAAAGCAUGGGGAGCAAACAGGAUUAGAUACACCAGUAGUCCCUGUCUCUUAUAC
rnacentral:rRNA from 1 species